GACGAACGCUGGCGGCGUGCCUAACACAUGCAAGUCGCACGGGGUAGCAAUACCCAGUGGCGAACGGGUGCGUAACACGUGAGGAACAUACCUAUCGGCGGGGGAUAGCCGGCCCAACGGCCGGGUAAUACCGCGUACGCUCUCCGGGGGGCAUCUCCUGGGGAGGAAAGCAGCAAUGCACCGAUAGAGUGCCUCGCGGCCUAUCAGCUAGUUGGUGAGGUAAUGGCUCACCAAGGCGACGACGGGUAGCUGGUCUGAGAGGAUGAUCAGCCACAUUGGGACUGAGACACGGCCCAGACUCCUACGGGAGGCAGCAGUGGGGAAUCUUGCGCAAUGGGCGAAAGCCUGACGCAGCGACGCCGCGUGUGGGAUGAAGGCCUUCGGUCGUAAACCACUGUCGCGAGGGACGAAUACAUUGACGGUACCUCGAAAGGAAGCACCGGCUAACUCUGUGCCAGCAGCCGCGGUAAUACAGAGGGUGCGAGCGUU
rnacentral:rRNA from 1 species